UACGUAGGGUGCAAGCGUUGUCCGGAAUUAUUGGGCGUAAAGAGCUCGUAGGCGGUUUGUUGCGUCGGCUGUGAAAUCCCGAGGCUCAACCUCGGGUCUGCAGUCGAUACGAGCAAACUAGAGUGUUGCAGGGGAGACUGGAAUUCCUGGUGUAGCGGUGAAAUGCGCAGAUAUCAGGAGGAACGACCGGUGGCGAAGGCGGGUCUCUGGUACGUGACUGACGCUGGAGAACGCGAAAGCCGUGGGGAGCAAACAGG
rnacentral:rRNA from 1 species